GUUUUUGUAGUUGAAUAACAACGGUGGCUCUUCGCGCCAUUAGUCCUGGUUUGAAUCCUGGUAGAAACU
rnacentral:tRNA from 1 species